rnacentral:lncRNA from 1 species
CAGGAGCUUGUUUCUGGAAUUGAGCGAGGUGUUGAAUUGGAUUCCAUUCUUCGUUUGACCACUGUUACUGGUAUAUUGAAUGGCAUGGAUGUUCAGGAGUGGAAUCCUUCCACUGACAAAUACAUUCCCAUCAAAUUCAAUGCUGAAACUGUAAGUUAACUAACUGACAUGGUUCAUAUUUUCCUUCUAAAUUGAUUAAAGAAAUUUCUUAGCCAGAUCUUCACUUUCAGGUUGCGGAAGCUAAAGCUCUUUUGAAAGAAGCUCUUCAAGCAGAAGUUGGAUUGCCUGUUGACAGGAACAUCCCUUUGAUAGGGUUUAUUGGUAGACUUGAGGAGCAAAAGGG